rnacentral:rRNA from 1 species
UCGGGGUACUCGAGUGGCGAACGGGUGAGUAACACGUGGGUGAUCUGCCCUGCACUUUGGGAUAAGCCUGGGAAACUGGGUCUAAUACGGAAUAGGACCACGCGCUUCAUGGUGUGUGGUGGAAAGCUUUUGCGGUGUGGGAUGGGCCCGCGGCCUAUCAGCUUUUUGGUGGGGUAAUGGCCUACCAAGGCGACGACGGGUAGCCGGCCUGAGAGGGUGACCGGCCACACUGGGACUGAGAUACGGCCCAGACUCCUACGGGAGGCAGCAGUGGGGAAUAUUGCACAAUGGGCGCAAGCCUGAUGCAGCGACGCCGCGUGAGGGAUGACGGCCUUUCGGGUUGUAAACCUCUUUCAAUAGGGACGAAGCGCAAGUGACGGUACCUAUAGAAGAAGCACCGGCCAACUACGUGCCAGCAGCCGCGGUAAUACGUAGGGUGCGAGCGUUGUCCGGAAUUACUGGGCGUAAAGAGCUCGUAGGUGGUUUGUCGCGUUGUUCGUGAAAACUCACAGCUUAACUGUGGGCGUGCGGGCGAUACGGGCAGACUAGAGUACUGCAGGGGAGACUGGAAUUCCUGGUGUAGCGGUGGAAUGCGCAGAUAUCAGGAGGAACACCGGUGGCGAAGGCGGGUCUCUGGGCAGUAACUGACGCUGAGGAGCGAAAGCGUGGGGAGCGAACAGGAUUAGAUACCCUGGUAGUCCACGCCGUAAACGGUGGGUACUAGGUGUGGGUUCCUUCCUUGGGAUCCGUGCCGUAGCUAACGCAUUAAGUACCCCGCCUGGGGAGUACGGCCGCAAGGCUAAAACUCAAAGGAAUUGACGGGGGCCCGCACAAGCGGCGGAGCAUGUGGAUUAAUUCGAUGCAACGCGAAGAACCUUACCUGGGUUUGACAUGCACAGGACGCCCGGCAGAGAUGUCGGUUCCCUUGUGGCCUGUGUGCAGGUGGUGCAUGGCUGUCGUCAGCUCGUGUCGUGAGAUGUUGGGUUAAGUCCCGCAACGAGCGCAACCCUUGUCCUAUGUUGCCAGCGGGUUAUGCCGGGGACUCGUAGGAGACUGCCGGGGUCAACUCGGAGGAAGGUGGGGAUGACGUCAAGUCAUCAUGCCCCUUAUGUCCAGGGCUUCACACAUGCUACAAUGGCCGGUACAAAGGGCUGCGAUGCCGUGAGGUGGAGCGAAUCCUUUCAAAGCCGGUCUCAGUUYGGAUCGGGGUCUGCAACUCGACCCCGUGAAGUCGGAGUCGCUAGUAAUCGCAGAUCAGCAACGCUGCGGUGAAUACGUUCCCGGGCCUUGUUACACACCGCCCGUCACGUCAUGAAAGUCGGUAACACCCGA